rnacentral:rRNA from 1 species
AACGAACGCUGGCGGCAUGCCUAACACAUGCAAGUCGAACGAGACCUUCGGGUCUAGUGGCGCACGGGUGCGUAACGCGUGUGAACCUGCCUUUAGGUUCGGAAUAACUCAGAGAAAUUUGAGCUAAUACCGGAUGAUGUCUUCGGACCAAAGAUUUAUCGCCUUUAGAUGGGCCCGCGUUGGAUUAGCUAGUUGGUGGGGUAAAGGCCUACCAAGGCGACGAUCCAUAGCUGGUCUGAGAGGAUGAUCAGCCACACUGGGACUGAGACACGGCCCAGACUCCUACGGGAGGCAGCAGUGGGGAAUAUUGGACAAUGGGCGAAAGCCUGAUCCAGCAAUGCCGCGUGAGUGAUGAAGGCCUUAGGGUUGUAAAGCUCUUUUACCCGAGAUGAUAAUGACAGUAUCGGGAGAAUAAGCUCCGGCUAACUCCGUG